rnacentral:rRNA from 1 species
GAUGAACGCUGGCGGCGUGCUUAACACAUGCAAGUCGAACGGAAAGGCCCAAGCUUGCUUGGGUACUCGAGUGGCGAACGGGUGAGUAACACGUGGGUGAUCUGCCCUGCACUUCGGGAUAAGCCUGGGAAACUGGGUCUAAUACCGGAUAGGACGAUGGUUUGGAUGCCAUUGUGGAAAGUUUUUUCGGUGUGGGAUGAGCUCGCGGCCUAUCAGCUUGUUGGUGGGGUAAUGGCCUACCAAGGCGUCGACGGGUAGCCGGCCUGGGAGGGUGUACGGCCACAUUGGGACGGAGAUACGGCCCAGACUCCUACGGGAGGCAGCAGUGGGGAAUAUUGCACAAUGGGCGCAAGCCUGAUGCAGCGACGCCGCGUGGGGGAUGACGGCCUUCGGGUUGUAAACUCCUUUCGCUAGGGACGAGGCGUUUUUGUGACGGUACCUGGAGAAGAAGCACCGGCUAACUACGUG